ensembl:lncRNA
AAAGUUCGGGAAUCCCAAAGUUCUGGAUCCGUUGGGAAUUGGGGAUCCCAAAGUUCUCAUUCCAUUGGGAAUUCCAGAUCCCAAAGUCCUCGACCUGCUGGGAAUUGGGGACCUCAAAGUUCUGGAUCCAUGGAGAUCCCAAGGUUCCUGAUCUGUUGGGAAUUGAGGAUCCCAAAGUUCUGGAUCCAUGGAGAUCCCAAAGUUCCUGAUCCAUUGGGAAUUGGGGAUCCCAAAGUUCUCAUCCCACAGGGAAUUCCAGAUCCCAAAGUUCUGGAGCCGUUGGGAAUUGGGGAUCCCAAAGUUCUCGAUUCAUUGGGAAUUGGGGAUCCCAAAACUUCUCAGUCCAGGAGGAUCCCAAAGUUCUCAACCUGUUGGGAAUUGAGGAUCCCAAAGUUCUGGAUCCAUGGAGAUCCCAAAGUUCUGGAUCCGUUGGGAAUUGGGGAUCCCAAAGUUCUGGAUCCACAAGGAAUUGGGGAUCCCAAAGUUCUGGAUCCGUUGGGAAUUGGGGGAUCCCAAAGUUCUCAUUCCAUUGGGAAUUCCUGAUCCCAAAGUCCUCGACCCAUGGAGAUCCCAAAGUUUUC